rnacentral:rRNA from 1 species
AGUUUACAGGUGCUGCAUGGCUGUCGUCAGUUCGUGGCGUGAGCUGUUGGGUUAAGUCCCAGAACGAACGCAACCCUCAGGGUUUUUGCUUUGAAUCAAAACCCCAACUGCCAGUGAGAUACGGGAGGAAGGAGAGGAUGACGUCAAGUCCGCAUGGCCCUUAUGAAUUGGGCUACACACGUGCUACAAUGGUGAUGCCAAAAAGAUGCAAUUUGGUCACAAGGAGCUAAUCUCUAACCAUCACCUUAGUUCAGAUUGUUCUCUGCAACUCGAGAACAUGAAGUCGGAAUCGCUAGUAAUCGUAGAUCAGCAUGCUACGGUGAAUUUGUAUCUAAGCCUUGUACACACCGCCCGUCACACUACGAAAGUGAACUGCACUCAAAAAAAUCACCCUUCUAAACAAUUAGAUCAAUCUUACACACGUCAACAUUGAAUCCUCGUGUUUUGAAGACAUUUUUACAGUGUUGUCUAUGAUUAUAGUGAAGUCGUAACAAGGUAGCU